GUCCGUAUGGCUCAGUGGUCGGAGCAUCUGCCUAGCAAGCAGGAGACCCAGGUUCGAAUCCUGGUCCAGGCC